rnacentral:tRNA from 1 species
GGAUUGUGGCUCAGUGGUAGAGCUCUUGUCUAGCAUGUGCGAGGCCCUGGGUUGAAUCCUCAGCACCA